rnacentral:rRNA from 1 species
UCUCAAAGAUUAAGCCAUGCAUGUCUAAGUGCACGCCUUCAUACGGUGAAACCGCGAAUGGCUCAUUAAAUCAGCUAUGGUUUAUUGGAUCAUACCCGUUAAAUGGAUAACUGUAAUAACUCUAGAGCUAAUACAUGCCCCGAAGCCCUGACCCGCGAGGGAAUGGGUGCACUUAUUAGAUCAGAAGCCAACCAGGUAGUGUUCUUCUGCCUUCGGGCGGGAGCUCCGCUGCCUGUCGUCCUUCUGGUGACUCUGGAUAAUUGUUACAGAUCGCAGUCGGCCUUGCGUCGGCGACGGGUCCUUCAAAUGUCUGCCCUAUCAACUUUCGAUGGUAGGUGACCUGCCUACCAUGGUGAUAACGGGUAACGGGGAAUCAGGGUUCGAUUCCGGAGAGGGAGCCUGAGAAACGGCUACCACUUCCAAGGGAGGCAGCAGGCGCGCAAAUUACCCACUCCCAGUACGGGGAGGUGGUGACGAAAAAUACCGAUGCGGGACUCUUAUUGAGGCUCCGUAAUCGGAAUGAGUGAACUCUAAAUCCUUUCACGAGGAUCAAUUGGAGGGCAAGUCUGGUGCCAGCAGCCG